GAGGUAGCAAUACUUUGGUGGCGACCGGCGCACGGGUGCGUAACGCGUAUGUAACCUACCUAUAACAGGGGCAUAACACUGAGAAAUUGGUACUAAUUCCCCAUAAUAUUCGGAGAGGCAUCUCUCCGGGUUGAAAACUCCGGUGGUUAUAGAUGGACAUGCGUUGUAUUAGCUAGUUGGUGAGGUAACGGCUCACCAAGGCAACGAUACAUAGGGGGACUGAGAGGUUAACCCCCCACACUGGUACUGAGACACGGACCAGACUCCUACGGGAGGCAGCAGUGAGGAAUAUUGGUCAAUGGACGCAAGUCUGAACCAGCCAUGCCGCGUGCAGGAAGACGGCUCUAUGAGUUGUAAACUGCUUUUGUACGAGGGUAAACUCACCUACGUGUAGGUGACUGAAAGUAUCGUACGAAUAAGGAUCGGCUAACUCCGUGCCAGCAGCCGCGGUAAUACGGAGGAUUCAAGCGUUAUCCGGAUUUAUUGGGUUUAAAGGGUGCGUAGGCGGUUUGAUAAGUUAGAGGUGAAAUCCCGGGGCUUAACUCCGGAACUGCCUCUAAUACUGUUAGACUAGAGAGUAGUUGCGGUAGGCGGAAUGUAUGGUGUAGCGGUGAAAUGCUUAGAGAUCAUACAGAACACCGAUUGCGAAGGCAGCUUACCAAACUAUAUCUGA
rnacentral:rRNA from 1 species